rnacentral:ncRNA from 1 species
GAACAGGGGUUGUCCAGGGCACUGCCCACGCCCAUUUCAUGCCCAGACGUCGGUGGCCCCCCAUCGCCGGCUAGGUUCCCGGCGGUGCUCCGACGAUCCAUUCUGGCGGUGCUCUGGUGAGCUUUCUUGAGGCAUACAAAAUGGCACAAUGAGUCCCUCCCCAAUCCCAAAAGGUAGAAUUCGAAUACCGUUACAUGUUCGGUACCCAAUAAUGAAUGAAUCAUCCCAAAGAUAGAAAUUGGAUACCGUUGCAUGUUCGGUACCUAACCAUGAAUGAAUCGUCCCUGUCCCUCCCCUUUUGCAACAAGAGCCUCUGGCACCUUUGGCCCCCGAUCGUGCGGUAGCCUCACACACUAUCAGCAGCGUGUGCCAUCCCGUGGUGUGGGGCCAUGUGUCAGAGCAUCGGGCACCACCAGCCCCUUCGAUGUGUCAGAGCAUUAGGCAGCAUCGGUACCUUAGUAUAUCGGAUGUGCGGGAGGGUCAAGCAUCUGACUUCUGGAAGGGAUGCAUUUAUUAGAUAAAAGGUCGACGCGGGCUUUGCUCGUUGCUCUGAUGAUUUAUGAUAACUCAACGGGUUGCACGGCCUUUGUGCCGGCGACGCAUCAUUCAAAUUUCUACCCUAUCAACUUUUGAUGGUAGGAUAGUGGCCUACUAUGGUCGUGACGGGUGAUGGAGAAUUAGGGUUCGAUUCCGGAGAGGGAGCCUAAGAAAUAGCUACCAUAUCCAAGGAAGACAGCAGGCGCGCAAAUUACCCAAUCCUGACACGAGGAGGUAGUGACAAUAAAUAACAAUACCGGGCUCUAUGAGUCUGGUAAUUGGAAUGAGUACAAUCUAAAUCCCUUAACGAGGAUCCAUAGGAGGGCAAGUCUGGUGCCAGCAAUCGCGAUAAUUCCAGCUCCAAUAGCGUAUAUUUAAGUUGUUGCAUUUAAAAAGCUCGUAGUUGGAUUUAAGGGUGGGUCGGUCGGUCCGCCUCACAGUGAGCACCGGUUUGCUCGUCCCUACUGUCGGUGAUGCUCUCCUAGCCUUAAUCGGCUGGGUCGUUCAUUCGGUGCUGUUACUUUGAAGAAAUUAGAGUGCUCAAAGCAGGCCUACAUUUGUAUACAUUAGCAUAGGAUAACAUCAUAGGAUUUCGAUCCUAUUGUGUUGGCCUUCGAGAUCAGAGUAAUGAUUAACAGGGACAGUUGGGGGCAUUUUUAUUUCAUAGUCAGAGGUGAAAUUCUUGGAUUUAUGAAAGAGGAACAACUGCGAAAGCAUUUGCCAAGGAUUUUUUCAUUAAUCAAGAAUGAAAGUUGGGGGCUCGAAGACUCGAUGGUUAGGAAGAAUCCCAUGACUACUUUAACGUCAUUAGUUGGGUAUGCUUCAGCUUCAAUCCACUUGAAUACGUAAUCUAAAACUACCAAAAUAAACUUAUUACCGUAUGAAGAAGGAAAUAGGCCUAGAAAAUCAAUG